AAAUGUUUACUCUUUACCAACAGCUCGAUCCGUUGGUAACUAUCAGCAACCCUCACAUUACCAACGAAUUUGUGGUUGCAAAAAUUUCGUUGGUAAAAAGUAAUAGCAACGUAUAUUAAGGUUUCAGGCACGAAAAAUCCAUGCUUGAAGCCUUGUUUUUUAGUAGUGAUUGAGUUGAUAAUGUAAUUCACAAAAAAUGAACACAUUUAACACACUAACAUUACUUUCAAAAUAACCUAGCCCGUGCAAUAUUUGUUGAUGAUGUAAUUCACGAAAAUCGAACACAUUUAUAAACACACUAACAUUACCUUUAAAAUAAUAAUGCCCGUGCAAAGACUAGUGUGUGUGUGUAUCAAAUCACCAAGCCUAUCAUUAGAUGGAUAAAAAUUCUUGCUUGCCAAUGUAAUAGUAAUGAAUAAGAGAGAUGCUACUCAAAUAGGGGCUCUUAGCCCCUAUUUAAAUCUUGGGUUAUGCCACUUUGACAGAAAGUGGUUGACAGCUGAAGUGACAUAAUAUUAAUUGGCAAUAUGUAAUUUGACGAAAAAGUUGACUGUGUUUAAAACAGUUCAAUGAUGAAGUGUCAUGUGACAUUAUGUCACUGUAACAUGAUUCUUAAAUCUUCUAUCAAAAGUCGUGUUCAACCAGCAUUAGUGAAUAAAAGUUACUCACAAGAACAUUUUCAACUAUUCAUCAUAUCCCUCUAUAUAACUGUUCUGGAAUAUUUGUUUUUGUCUGAUCCUACAACAUAAUUACGAUAGUGAUGAAAUUUAUG
rnacentral:lncRNA from 1 species